AUUUCCUAUCAAAGCCUACUGCAUAACAAUCUAACUCCCAGGAUCAUUGCCCAGUGGGAAAACGACUUGAAACAGGCAUUCAAAAAUAAAAUGUCUGUCAAAAAUGUCCUCUCCAGAAAUAGAGUGCAUUUAAAACUCAAGCAUCAGUGCGUGAGUGUGUGUCUGGGUAUAUAUAUAUAUAUAUAUA